AGCAGCCGCGGUAAUUCCAGCUCCAAUAGCGUAUAUUAAAGUUGUUGCAGUUAAAAGCUCGUAGUUGAAUUUCGGGAUUAAUAUGUUGGUCGUGCCUUGGUACGUACUGGCAUUAUUGAUUCCUACCUUCUGAAGAACCUCGAUGUCAUUAAUUUGGUGUCUUGGGGAAUCAGGACCUUUACUUUGAAAAAUUAGAGUGUUUAAAGCAGGCUCGCGCUUGAAUACAUUAGCAUGGAAUAAUGAAAUAGGACGUUUGAUUCUAUUUUGUUGGUUUCUAGGAUCGACGUAAUGAUUAAUAGGGAUAGUUGGGGGCAUUAGUAUUCAAUUGUCAGAGGUGAAAUUCUUGGAUUUAUUGAAGACUGACUACUGCGAAAGCAUUUGCCAAAGAUGUUUUCAUUAAUCAAGAACGAAAGUUAGGGAUCGAAGACGAUCAGAUACCGUCGUAGUCUUAACCAUAAACUAUAGCCGACUAGGGAUCGGAUGAUGUUAAUUUUUAAUGUACUUCAUUCGGCGUCCG
rnacentral:misc_RNA from 1 species